AACAGUACUACAGACCAAGUAUAUCAGGCUAUUGCAGCAAAGGUUGGCAUGGACAGUACGACAGUGAAUUACUUUGCCUUAUUUGAAGUGAUCAGUCACUCCUUUGUACGUAAAUUGGCACCUAAUGAGUUUCCUCACAAACUCUACAUUCAGAAUUAUACAUCAGCUGUGCCAGGCACCUGCUUGACCAUUCGAAAGUGGCUUUUUACAACAGAAGAAGAAAUUCUCUUAAAUGACAAUGACCUUGCUGUUACCUACUUCUUUCAUCAGAUUCCAGCAGCAUCUCUUCAUUUCCCACUAUUGAAGAUGAGACACCAGCUGUCUUUCCUUCUCCAUUCCUACCAUAUACCCAUACCUUUUUCAUCUCUCCCAUCCCCUUAAUAUAGUCAAAUUAUAAUAUUUGUAAGGUCAAUAUGCAGUGUUUACAAUAUUAUGACUGUAAAUAGUGAAAUUUACAACAGAGCCAUAUAAUAAACACUGUCUUUACUUUU
rnacentral:sRNA from 1 species